CUGCAAGUAUUUCAUCUCUUAAAAAUUUUUUUUCAGACCCAGUUUCUGACAAAAAACUUGGGCCUGCUAAAGUAUUUCUUGGACAUUGAAGUUAUAAGAAGUAAAAUAGGCAUCUUUCUGUCUCAGCGAAAAUAUAUCCUUGAUCUUUUGGCAGAAACUGGGAAAUUAAGUGCUAAUCCUUGCAAUGCACCAAUGGCCCCAAAUUUGCAAAUGCAGCAGAGGAUGAUAAGUUGUUUGAAGAUCCAGAAAAGUAUAAGAGGCUAGUAGGUAAACUAAACUACCUUAUAGUAACUCGUCCUAACAUUGCAUAUUCAAUCAGUGUGGUAAGUCAAUUUAUGUCU
rnacentral:misc_RNA from 1 species